rnacentral:snoRNA from 1 species
AAGACCUUACUUCAUAGGAUCAUUUCUAUAGUAAGCUCUUCACGAGAACUCUUACAUUAUGUAGGAUCAAAUAAAUA